UACGUAGGGACCAAGCGUUGUUCGGAUUUACUGGGCGUAAAGGGCGCGUAGGCGGCAUGACAAGUCACUUGUGAAAUCUCCGGGCUUAACUCGGAACGGCCAAGUGAUACUGUCGCGCUAGAGUGCAGGAAGGGGCAAUCGGAAUUCUUGGUGUAGCGGUGAAAUGCGUAGAUAUCAAGAGGAACACCUGAGGUGAAGACGGGUUGCUGGGCUGACACUGACGCUGAGGCGCGAAAGCUAGGGUAGCAAACGGG
rnacentral:rRNA from 1 species